CAAACUGCUGAACUUGCGAUUAGCAGCCUAACACAGAACCACUAUGUCAUCAGGGCUCCCUAUUCUUGGGAUGGUUUAUACUUUGAAAUGUCAGCUGACCUUGAUAAUUUACCUUCUCAACUUAUUUUUUGUUUUUUGAAUUAGGUUUAACUCAGAAGAAGGUAGGUGAAAAAUAUGAUUUUCCCAUACGUUUGAAUGAAGCUUCCAAAAAAAUUAAGAAGAAAAAGAAAAAGGUUUCAGUCUGGAAUGGAGUCUGCAAAUUCAUAUCUAGAAUGCUUGAAGAAAAUGAAAAAUAUCGACGCAGACUGAGUUCCCAGCGACUAGCUAGUGGCAGUUCAAAUCACUCAAGAUGAAUCUUAUCUUCCACUGAACUCAUCUGUCUGGAUCUGUUUGUCAAAGAAAGAUUAUGAAGAGUUUAAAGAUGGAAGAUUCAACUGAAUUGUAAAUUUUUGGAUAAUUUUGUUUUAUGUUGUUAAAAUUAGAACUUUAAUCAUUGUAUGGAAAAGUGACC